UUAAGUUAUUAAGGGCGCACGGUGGAUGCCUUGGCACUAGAAGCCGAUGAAGGACGUUACUAACGACGAUAUGCUUUGGGGAGCUGUAAGUAAGCUUUGAUCCAGAGAUUUCCGAAUGGGGAAACCCAGCAUGAGUUAUGUCAUGUUAUCGAUAUGUGAAUACAUAGCAUAUCAGAAGGCACACCCGGAGAACUGAAACAUCUUAGUACCCGGAGGAAGAGAAAGAAAAUUCGAUUCCCUUAGUAGCGGCGAGCGAAACGGGAAGAGCCCAAACCAACAAGCUUGCUUGUUGGGGUUGUAGGACACUCUAUACGGAGUUACAAAGGACGACAUUAGACGAAUCAUCUGGAAAGAUGAAUCAAAGAAGGUAAUAAUCCUGUAGUCGAAAAUGUUGUCUCUCUUGAGUGGAUCCUGAGUACGACGGAGCACGUGAAAUUCCGUUGGAAUCUGGGAGGACCAUCUCCUAAGGCUAAAUACUCUCUAGUGACCGAUAGUGAACCAGUACCGUGAGGGAAAGGUGAAAAGCACCCCGGAAGGGGAGUGAAAUAGAACCUGAAACCGUGUGCUUACAAGUAGUCAGAGCCCGUUAAUGGGUGAUGGCGUGCCUUUUGUAGAAUGAACCGGCGAGUUACGAUUUGAUGCAAGGUUAAGCAGUAAAUGUGGAGCCGUAGCGAAAGCGAGUCUGAAUAGGGCGUUUAGUAUUUGGUCGUAGACCCGAAACCAGGUGAUCUACCCUUGGUCAGGUUGAAGUUCAGGUAACACUGAAUGGAGGACCGAACCGACUUACGUUGAAAAGUGAGCGGAUGAACUGAGGGUAGCGGAGAAAUUCCAAUCGAACCUGGAGAUAGCUGGUUCUCUCCGAAAUAGCUUUAGGGCUAGCCUCAAGUGAUGAUUAUUGGAGGUAGAGCACUGUUUGGACGAGGGGCCCCUCUCGGGUUACCGAAUUCAGACAAACUCCGAAUGCCAAUUAAUUUAACUUGGGAGUCAGAACAUGGGUGAUAAGGUCCGUGUUCGAAAGGGAAACAGCCCAGACCACCAGCUAAGGUCCCAAAAUAUAUGUUAAGUGGAAAAGGAUGUGGCGUUGCCCAGACAACUAGGAUGUUGGCUUAGAAGCAGCCAUCAUUUAAAGAGUGCGUAAUAGCUCACUAGUCGAGUGACACUGCGCCGAAAAUGUACCGGGGCUAAACAUAUUACCGAAGCUGUGGAUUGUCCUUUGGACAAUGGUAGGAGAGCGUUCUAAGGGCGUUGAAGCAUGAUCGUAAGGACAUGUGGAGCGCUUAGAAGUGAGAAUGCCGGUGUGAGUAGCGAAAGACGGGUGAGAAUCCCGUCCACCGAUUGACUAAGGUUUCCAGAGGAAGGCUCGUCCGCUCUGGGUUAGUCGGGUCCUAAGCUGAGGCCGACAGGCGUAGGCGAUGGAUAACAGGUUGAUAUUCCUGUACCACCUAUAAUCGUUUUAAUCGAUGGGGGGACGCAGUAGGAUAGGCGAAGCGUGCGAUUGGAUUGCACGUCUAAGCAGUAAGGCUGAGUAUUAGGCAAAUCCGGUACUCAUUAAGGCUGAGCUGUGAUGGGGAGAAGACAUUGUGUCUUCGAGUCGUUGAUUUCACACUGCCGAGAAAAGCCUCUAGAUAGAAAAUAGGUGCCCGUACCGCAAACCGACACAGGUAGUCAAGAUGAGAAUUCUAAGGUGAGCGAGCGAACUCUCGUUAAGGAACUCGGCAAAAUGACCCCGUAACUUCGGGAGAAGGGGUGCUCUUUAGGGUUAACGCCCAGAAGAGCCGCAGUGAAUAGGCCCAAGCGACUGUUUAUCAAAAACACAGGUCUCUGCUAAACCGUAAGGUGAUGUAUAGGGGCUGACGCCUGCCCGGUGCUGGAAGGUUAAGAGGAGUGGUUAGCUUCUGCGAAGCUACGAAUCGAAGCCCCAGUAAACGGCGGCCGUAACUAUAACGGUCCUAAGGUAGCGAAAUUCCUUGUCGGGUAAGUUCCGACCCGCACGAAAGGCGUAACGAUUUGGGCACUGUCUCAACGAGAGACUCGGUGAAAUCAUAGUACCUGUGAAGAUGCAGGUUACCCGCGACAGGACGGAAAGACCCCGUGGAGCUUUACUGUAGCCUGAUAUUGAAAUUCGGCACAGCUUGUACAGGAUAGGUAGGAGCCUUUGAAACGUGAGCGCUAGCUUACGUGGAGGCGCUGGUGGGAUACUACCCUAGCUGUGUUGGCUUUCUAACCCGCACCACUUAUCGUGGUGGGAGACAGUGUCAGGCGGGCAGUUUGACUGGGGCGGUCGCCUCCUAAAAGGUAACGGAGGCGCUCAAAGGUUCCC
rnacentral:rRNA from 1 species